rnacentral:rRNA from 1 species
GGACCCGCACAAGCGGUGGAGCAUGUGGUUUAAUUCGAUGAUACGCGAGGAACCUUACCAGGGCUUAAAUGUAAGUUGCAUUAGUUAGAGAUAGCUAUUUCUUCGGACUACUUACAAGGUGCUGCAUGGUUGUCGUCAGCUCGUGCCGUGAGGUGUCAGGUUAAGUCCUAUAACGAGCGCAACCCCUGUUGUUAGUUGCCAUCGAGUCAUGUCGGGAAACUCUAACAAGACUGCCGGUGCAAACCGUGAGGAAGGUGGGGAUGACGUCAAAUCAUCACGGCCCUUACGUCCUGGCUACACACGUGCUACAAUGCUACGGCAAAGGGGCAGCAAACUCGCGAGAGCUAGCA